GGAGAUGGCUCAGUGGUAGAACAUCUGCUUUGCAUUCAGAAGGUCCAAGGUUCAAUUCCCAGCAUCUCCA
rnacentral:tRNA from 1 species